rnacentral:rRNA from 1 species
CUUUACUGCAACUUGACGUUGGAACUUGGCCGUAUUUGUGUAGGAUAGGUGGGAGACUUUGAAGCAGGGCCGCCAGGUCUUGCGGAGUCGUCGUUGAAAUACCACCCUGGUGCUGACGAGUUUCUAACCGUGUCCGUAAGCCGGACAUGAGACAGCGUCUGGUGGGCAGUUUGACUGGGGCGGUCGCCUCCUAAAAGGUAACGGAGGCAUUCAAAGGUCCCCUCAGCGUGGUCGGUAAUCACGCGCAGAGUGCAAACGCAUAAGGGGGCUUAACUGCGAGACCGACAGGUCGAGCAGGUACGAAAGUAGGAGUUAGUGAUCCCGCGGUUUAGCGUGGAAUUGCCGUUGCUCAAUGGAUAGAAGGUA